UGGGGAAUUUUGGACAAUGGGCGAAAGCCUGAUCCAGCAAUGCCGCGUGUGUGAAGAAGGCCUUCGGGUUGUAAAGCACUUUUGUCCGGAAAGAAAUCCUUGGCUCUAAUACAGUCGGGGGAUGACGGUACCGGAAGAAUAAGCACCGGCUAACUACGUGCCAGCAGCCGCGGUAAUACGUAGGGUGCAAGCGUUAAUCGGAAUUACUGGGCGUAAAGCGUGCGCAGGCGGUUUGCUAAGACCGAUGUGAAAUCCCCGGGCUCAACCUGGGAACUGCAUUGGUGACUGGCAGGCUAGAGUAUGGCAGAGGGGGGUAGAAUUCCACGUGUAGCAGUGAAAUGCGUAGAGAUGUGGAGGAAUACCGAUGGCGAAGGCAGCACCCUGGGCCAAUACUGACGCUCAUGCACGAAAGCGUGGGGAGCAAACAGGAUUAGAUACCCUGGUAGUCCACGCCCUAAACGAUGUCAACUAGUUGUUGGGGAUUCAUUUCCUUAGUAACGUAGCUAACGCGUGAAGUUGACCGCCUGGGGAGUACGGUCGCAAGAUU
rnacentral:rRNA from 1 species